GGAUCGUUCUUCGAGGAGAUUUCUCUCCACUUGGAUCUUCCAUCAUAGGGUUCCACCCUAUUGCAAUCCUCCUCAAAGGGUUUUACCUUGUUGAAAUCUUCCUUGACGAGUUUCACAUUUUCUCGAAGAGUUUCAUCCUAUUGAGAUCAUAUAUCUUCGAAGGGUUUUACUUUAUUGAGAUCUUUGUCGAAAUGUUUCACUUUUUCUAAAAAAAUUUCACCUUAUUGAGACUUUCCUCGACUAGAUCUCUCCUAACGUGGAUUUUUCUUGAGAAGAUCGAUUUCUCCUCAAGCAGUCUGUUAUUAAAACCACUCUCAAAAUUCACCCCCACAGUGGGCUUUCUCAGUUCAUCCUUAAAUAGUUCUCUUGGUAGAAUCAAACAAAGCUUUGUAUUGUGAGUUGCAAAUUCUCUUUCUUUUUUUUCUUUUUUUACUUUAGAAAAGAAUUAUGACUGCUGAAGAUUGCUGAUGGUUCUAUUUUGUGUUCACUUCAACAUGAUUGAGUUGCCAUGCAAAACAAAUCUGUACUUACCUGACACGAAGUGAGGACUUCCAAUUGACAGGUUUAUGCCAGACACCAAGUCUUGGGACGCAAUUGUAGAUUUUUAAGCAGUAGGGUGGAUACAGAUUCCUCUGCAGUAUAUCGGGAAGGAUAAGAGAGUUCAUUUUGGAAUCUUCUUCAUGUAUCACGAAUUCGUAAUGCAACUGGCAAGGUAUUUUACAUGUUUUGUUUUGAUGUCUUCAAUUGAAUCUUACUUUCUGUUAAUGUUUGUCAAUGAGAUUUAUACUGUCAACUUGAUAUGCCUUUGGCGCAAAGUAUAUAGGGAAGGAUAUGCCUUUUGAGUUUACUGACUUUGUCAAAUUUGUGAAUUCUUCUAAGCAAUCAGGAGAAGAGAAUUUCAUACGAUUGAAGUUUCUACCAUAAUAGUUGUGCUUUCUUUGUGGCUGUGUGAUCUGAAUAACUUGUAAAGCUCAUCGGUACUAAAAUUUGCAUCACACGCUGUGAAUUUCUGUGUAUGUUUCACAGCAUGGAUAGUAAGAAUCUUAGGAUCGAUAAAUCGAAUAGAAAUUCUUAACUGGGAGAGAAGUCAGAGAACAGUGGCAGAGUUUGGAGAUGUGCAGUUUGUAUUGCAUUGUUGUUUUUUCUCAUCAUCAAGAUUAUA